rnacentral:rRNA from 1 species
GAUGAACGCUGGCGGCGUGCCUAAUACAUGCAAGUCGAGCGAACGGACGAGAAGCUUGCUUCUCUGAUGUUAGCGGCGGACGGGUGAGUAACACGUGGAUAACCUACCUAUAAGACUGGGAUAACUUCGGGAAACCGGAGCUAAUACCGGAUAAUAUUUUGAACCGCAUGGUUCAAAAGUGAAAGACGGUCUUGCUGUCACUUAUAGAUGGAUCCGCGCUGCAUUAGCUAGUUGGUAAGGUAACGGCUUACCACGGCAACGAUGCAUAGCCGACCUGAGAGGGUGGUCGGCCACACUGGAACUGAGACACGGUCCAGACUCCUACGGGAGGCAGCAGUAGGGAAUCUUCCGCAAUGGGCGAAAGCCUGACGGAGCAACGCCGCGUGAGUGAUGAAGGUCUUCGGAUCGUAAAACUCUGUUAUUAGGGAAGAACAUAUGUGUAAGUAACUGUGCACAUCUUGACGGUACCUAAUCAGAAAGCCACGGCUAACUACGUG